GGGUUGUGAGGUUAAGCGACUAAGCGUACACGGUGGAUGCUCUGGCAGUCAGAGGCGAUGAAGGACGUGCUAAUCUGCGAAAAGCGUCGGUAAGGUGAUAUGAACCGUUACAGCCGGCGAUGUCCGAAUGGGGAAACCCAGUGUGAUUCGUCACACUAUCGUUAACUGAAUACAUAGGUU
rnacentral:rRNA from 1 species